AGCUCCAAUAGCGUAUAUUAAUGUUGUUGCAGUUAAAAAGCUCGUAGUUGAAUUCUAAACAGGGACUUAUCGGUUCACCUACGGGUGCAACUGGUAGUCCGGUUUAUAACGUUGUGAACAUUUGGUGAUCUUAACCGAUUGUCUUAUGUGAUCGACAAUUUUACUUUGAAAAAAUUGGGGUGCUUAAAGCAGGCAAAUGUCUGAACAGUGGUGCAUGGAAUAAUGAAAUAGGACUUCGGUCUUAUUUUGUUGGUUUUAGAGCCCGAAGUAAUGAUUAAAAGGGACUGACGGGGCCAUCUGUAUACCAGGGGGAGAGGUGAAAUUCAUAGAUCCUUGGUAGACAAUCUACUGCGAAAGCAUUUGGCAAGAAUGUUUUCA
rnacentral:rRNA from 1 species